CAGAUAAGCCCAUGCAUGUCUAAGUAUAGCAAUAUACCGUGAAACUGCGAAUGGCUCAUUAAAUCAGUUAUCGUUUAUUUGAUAGUACCUUACUACUUGGAUAACCGUGGUAAUUCUAGAGCUAAUACAUGCUGAAAACCCCAACUUCGGGAGGGGUGUAUUUAUUAGAUAAAAAACCAACGCCCUUCGGGGCUUCUUGGUGAUUCAUGAUAACUUCACGGAUCGCAUGGCCUUGCGCCGGCGACGGUUCAUUCAAAUUUCUGCCCUAUCAACUUUCGAUGGUAAGGUAUUGGCUUACCAUGGUUUCAACGGGUAACGGGGAAUUAGGGUUCGAUUCCGGAGAGGGAGCCUGAGAAACGGCUACCACAUCCAAGGAAGGCAGCAGGCGCGCAAAUUACCCAAUCCCGACACGGGGAGGUAGUGACAAUAAAUACUGAUACAGGGCUCUUUUGGGUCUUGUAAUUGGAAUGAGUACAAUUUAAACCUCUUAACGAGGAACAAUUGGAGGGCAAGUCUGGUGCCAGCAGCCGCGGUAAUUCCAGCUCCAAUAGCGUAUAUUAAAGUUGUUGCAGUUAAAAAGCUCGUAGUUGAAACUUGGGCCUGGCUGGCAGGUCCGCCUCACCGCGUGUACUUGUCCGGCCGGGCCUUUCCUUCUGGAGAACCUCAUGCCCUUCACUGGGUGUGUUGGGGAACCAGGACUUUUACUUUGAAAAAAUUAGAGUGUUCAAAGCAGGCCUUUGCUCGAAUACGUUAGCAUGGAAUAAUAGAAUAGGACGUGCGGUCCUAUUUUGUUGGUUUCUAGGACCGCCGUAAUGAUUAAUAGGGACAGUCGGGGGCAUCAGUAUUCAAUUGUCAGAGGUGAAAUUCUUGGAUUUAUUGAAGACUAACUACUGCGAAAGCAUUUGCCAAGGAUGUUUUCAUUAAUCAGUGAACGAAAGUUAGGGGAUCGAAGACGAUCAGAUACCGUCGUAGUCUUAACCGUAAACUAUGCCGACUAGGGAUCGGGCGAUGUUCUUUUUCUGACUCGCUCGGCACCUUACGAGAAAUCAAAGUUUUUGGGUUCUGGGGGGAGUAUGGUCGCAGGUGAAUAG
rnacentral:rRNA from 1 species